UGGGCAACCUGCCCUCAGCUCUGGGAUAACUCCAAGAAAUUGGGGCUAAUACCGGAUAUGACUGCUGACCGCAUGGUCUGGUGGUGGAAGGAUUUAUCGGCUGGGGAUGGGCCCGCGGCCUAUCAGCUUGUUGGUGGGGUAGUGGCCUACCAAGGCGACGACGGGUAGCCGGCCUG
rnacentral:rRNA from 1 species